UGCCUGGCCCCAUUUUGGGAGUGCUGAGCUGAGGCCUGGAGGUGUCUGACUUCACAGAUGGCACUCACUGCCCAGCUGUCAGUGUUCAGUCCUACUGUGUGCAGCGGUACACUGGCCGGUGCCAGGCUCUAAAAGUUCAAGUGAGCCAGACAGAGUUGCAAGCCUCUUCAGCAGACUGCCCUGCAGCGGCCCUGCCUCAUUCUGCCCCAAACCCCAUCCUUGGUCCACUCUGGGCCUGGUGUGAAGGGCCAUCCCUGGAAUGGUCUUUGGGACCCACGUUAACCGUUUAACUCCUGGGCAUCCUUGCUGAGAACCUGUCAGUACCUGGCUCCCUCUGGAAAUGUGCAGCACACGUGUUUUGAACAACUCAUGAAUGCAAUUGGUAGGGGGCAGGGGAGACCUUGAGGAUAUUCUGGGACAGAAGUGGCCCCACUUCCCAGAACGGCCUGAGCAGCUUCCUGGUUUAGCUGAGAUGGGUAUUAUUACGAUCAAGUUGCAAAUGCUCCUGUAGUGAGCUGCAUCUGGAGCAAGUUGGUGUCCACUGAGUACAGACUGAGUUAGCUGCCUUAACUUCUAACUCAGGUGCUACGAUGCCUAAUUCCGCACGGCCUGUCUGUGUGCACCCGACUGCAAGCACCUGCCCAGCUGAGAUGUGGGGCAUCUAGGACAUUCUGGUGGUGGAGAUGCACUCACAUUUGGCUUCAGGACUUCAGUGGAGAGACCCCUGGAGGAAUGGCUGGCAGGCCUCGAGGCCCUGACUGUUAUAACACAGCUGUCCCUCCCUCAUAGCCCACAUGGAUGCAGGUGGCACAGUGACAGCAGGGAAGCCGGAGGGGACAGCAUUGUACAUCGUGUAUGCUGUGCUGUCAGCCUUGCCUGGAUGACAGAGAAGCAGCAUCGUGGGAUAGAAUAGGGCAGCAGGGGCCAUUGUAGAGUCCCUGUGUGCAUCUGCUUGGCUCCCCAGCCACACCCAGUGGUCUGUUCCUUCCUCAGGGAGGCUGCACACUCGACCCCAGGGACCAAGUGUGUUAGUUGGCUCUGUCUGUCUGAAGACAGAUUUAGCUCAGGGGGAUUCCAAGACCAGCACUUGGAGAGGGAAGAGGGAAGCAGCCAGCCACCCUCAGACAGGCUGGCUGAGAUGGCGAAGCUGGCGGGAGGGAGUCCAGCCUCAGGACUGCAGUCUGCAGGCCAGCAUGACAGACGAGCCUGGCACUGGGAGGAAACCACCCCAGAGAGCGGGAACCUGCCCUGUCCGACAGGGUAGCCA